GGCCGGUGCCGAAGGGGGCUGGAUGCUAAAAAAAAACCCUGGGGCUGCUUUUUGUCGUUAAUUAAGAGCUCUGAAUGCCAAAACAAACCCUGGAGCUGCUUUUUGUCGUUAAUUAAAAGGCCUGGAUGCUAAAACAAACGCUGGAGCUGCUUUUUUGUCGAGCACGAGUGAGACUGGACACUGAACAUACAUGCAGCGCGAAGGUUUACUCAUUCUACUGCAGCCUGGACAGAAACACCAGCUCUCACCUUAUAAACCAAACAGGUGUCACCACUUCAUCCCUGAUCAUAGAGAGUCUUCAUACAACAAAGUUCUUUGAGACCAGGACUGAGACCCUCCAGGAUUGAAACAACCAUUAAAGCACAGAGAGAAGAGACAGACGUAAAGACAAUUUCAGAAGGUCCUCAGCUGCUGUCGUCUUCUCCUCCUGCAGAGACAAGAACACGUGUUAAUCAUGAGAUAGAUCAGAUUAGUAAAUCAUAAUAUUUUUAUGACAUACUAUUCUCACAUUUUUUGACAGUUUUUAUGCCUUACUGUACUAUGACAUAUAACUUCUUAUCCUAAUAUAGCCUUCUUACCUUCAUUUUCCAUCGCUCACACCUCUACACAGUGUUUGUGGGUUAGGUUAGAUUUUCAUUUUUGUAUUUUGCUGUUU